UUUUGUAUUUAUGCAAAUGGCAUUCUUAGCAUCAAUAAUUAUAUAUCAAGGUACUGGUCAACUCUUAUUCAUCAAGAUUUAUUUCUUUAUGCAAAAAUAAACAGUGCACCCAUUUUAUUAGUAUAUGUGUUAGCUAGUUUUUCUGUUAACUUGACACACACUAGAGUCCUUUUGGAAGAGGGAACUUCAACUAAGAAAAUGCCCCUACCAGAUUGGCCCGUGGGCAAGCCUGUGGUGGGUGUACUUCUUGACUUAUAAUUAACGUGGGAGGGUCCACCCAGUUCCUUGAGAGUGGUGCCAUCCCAGGGCAGGUGGUCCUGCGUGCUAUAAGAAAGCAGGUUGACCAAGCCAUGAAGAGCAAGUCAGUAAGUAGGCCCCUCUCCACGGCCUCUGCUUCAAGUCUUGCCUCCAGGUCCCUGCCCUGAGUUUUUGGCCUACCUUCUUUUCCUCAGUGAUGGUAGGAAACCUUUAAGUGAAAUAAACCCCUCCCUCCUCAAGUUGCUUUUGGUCAUAGCAAUAGAAACCCUAGCGACCCAAACUUGAUUUAAUCCUUAACAAAUGAAAAAGUUAUAUGCAUACAAAAGAACUCUUGUAUAAUAAAUUUGUGAUUUAUAACCAGC
rnacentral:lncRNA from 1 species